rnacentral:rRNA from 1 species
AUACGUAGGUGGCAAGCGUUGUCCGGAUUUAUUGGGCGUAAAGCGAGCGCAGGCGGUUUCUUAAGUCUGAUGUGAAAGCCCCCGGCUUAACCGGGGAGGGUCAUUGGAAACUGGGAGACUUGAGUGCAGAAGAGGAGAGCGGAAUUCCAUGUGUAGCGGUGAAAUGCGUAGAUAUAUGGAGGAACACCAGUGGCGAAGGCGACUCUCUGGUCUGUAACUGACGCUGAGGCUCGAAAGCGUGGGGAGCAAACAGGAUUAGAUACCCUGGUAGCCCACGCCGUAAACGAUGAGUGCUAAGUGUUGGAGGGUUUCCGCCCUUCAGUGCUGCAGCUAACGCAUUAAGCACUCCGCCUGGGGAGUACGGCCGCAAGGCUGAAACUCAAAUGAAUUGACGGGG